rnacentral:rRNA from 1 species
GAGCGGAUGAAGGUAGCUUGCUACUGGAUUCAGCGGCGGACGGGUGAGUAAUGCUUAGGAAUCUGCCUAUUAGUGGGGGACAACGUUCCGAAAGGAGCGCUAAUACCGCAUACGUCCUACGGGAGAAAGCAGGGGACCUUUGGGCCUUGCGCUAAUAGAUGAGCCUAAGUCGGAUUAGCUAGUUGGUAGGGUAAAGGCCUACCAAGGCGACGAUCUGUAGCGGGUCUGAGAGGAUGAUCCGCCACACUGGGACUGAGACACGGCCCAGACUCCUACGGGAGGCAGCAGUGGGGAAUAUUGGACAAUGGGGGGAACCCUGAUCCAGCCAUGCCGCGUGUGUGAAGAAGGCCUUUUGGUUGUAAAGCACUUUAAGCGAGGAGAAGGCUACCUAGAUUAAUACUUUAGGAUAGUGGACGUUACUCGCAGAAUAAGCACCGGCUAACUCUGUG